rnacentral:rRNA from 1 species
GACAGAGGUGCCAAGCGUUAGGCGGAAUCACUGGGCUUAAAGCGUGUGUAGGCGGACCUGUAAGUGCCUUGUGAAAUCCCGCGGCUCAACCGCGGAACGGCUGGGCAUACUGCGGGUCUUGAGCUGUCUAGGGGCAACCGGAACAAACGGUGGAGCGGUGAAAUGCGUAGAUAUCGUUUGGAACGCCAAUGGUGAAAACAGGUUGCUGGGGACAUGCUGACGCUGAGACACGAAAGCCAGGGGAGCGAACGGG